rnacentral:misc_RNA from 1 species
AAUGCAUCUUGCACUCCUUGGUAUUCUGAGGAGUAUGCCUGUUUGAGUGUCAUAAAAUUUAUCAACUACUUUGAUUCUAUUAAAGUGAAGUUGGAUUAGUGAAGGUACUUUUAAUGCAGGCAAAAAUUUAUGUUUGCUCCUUUAAAAUGUAUAUUUUUAAGGGCUUAUCUUGGGGCAUUAAGAAGUUAUAUUAAUGCCUAGUGGAAAAAAGUCAUCAAUAUGAUAAACUACUAUAUUGUUGAUAAAAUGUAUACACCCAAGGUUUUGCCCAAAAAUAUAUUCUUAUUUAUAUAUUCAAUAUAUAUAUAUAUAUAUAUAAGUAAUUAUUAUAGUUUGACCUCAAAUCAGGUAGGACUACCCGCUGAACUUAA